AGGCUCCCUCAACACUAAACCCAACAUGACAUUAUCAAACCGAAGAUCCCUCGAAACAAACGGUUUUUUAAUCCAACACAAGCGAUUAUUCUCGUUAUCAUUUAUUAAAAGUGAAUGGAAAUAAUGGGAAGAUCAUUCAAUGCUCCGGAGAACUGAGCGAAAUAAAUCUGCUUACUUCCCACUCUAGUGUACGGUAUUCACGACGAAGGCAAAAGAGAGCUCACUCCUGUUUUAUUUUAUUUAUUCCUCGGAAGCGCUGGAGAUGCAGGCAUUCCAUACAAAAAAGGCAUAAUCCAUCUCCCGGAAUAACGGAACAUCUCUCGCAUAUUGAACGUUUAUGUGGAGAAAAAAAGGUGGCAGGGGGUAAGAGCCCGGGACCAAAAAUGAAUUAUUCAAUGGACAUUUUCACCUUUUCACUGUACAACUAAGUUCCUGGGAAAAUAAAUACGAAUUAUUUAGAUUUCUUGGAGGACAUGCAUGGGAAAUCUUUCCAUGGUGGAUUAAGAAUCAAUUCUGGAAUUGUGACUUUCAAAAUGAAAUAAAAAAAGAAAAUUCCCAUAAAUAACUUCUUAAGGAAAUAAAAUUAAUCUCAAGAUUUGCAUUUUUACGGCUUUCUCACUCAAAAACGUUAAGUGUACUACAGGGAAAAUUAUUUUUGAAGAAAAAAUAUAAAAUAGAAAGAUUUUAUUUAACACAUUUUAAACGACUUAAAUUUAAGAAAUUGGUCUUCAAGUUUUUGGAUAAACGUACUGGUUACCACGAUUUACGUCACAAUAAUACAAUGGAAAAAUUAGGAUAAAAAUGAGAGUGAAUCAGUCUCAGCAGUUAAUGAAUUGUCGUUUUUUUCUCUGUGACUUGAGGAUAUCUAAGUACCUCAGGGAUUACUAAGAACAUGAGAGCUGUUAUCUGUACACUUAACCCUGUUUUCGAACAUUUUACCAUGAUUUUUUAUUCAAAAUUUACUAGUACGUUGAAAAACAGUUUACAAAUCUGAAAAAAAAAUGUAAAAUGGUAAACUGACUUUUGUAGAAAAACUAAUACACCGUCUAAAAAAACGCAAUUAGACAAUUACUGGCAUUUCAAUGUAAAAUGUAAGAUUAUGUGAUAGGGAUCGUAAAAAAUUUAAUAAUAAUCCGGAAUUCUCAAGAAAUGUAUGUCACGCGUAAGAAAAUAAAAAUUCCGAGAGUCUAAACAAUUUGAAUUAUGUAUUUAUAAACCAAAAAUGUUUCAAAAAAAUGAUAAUUCUGAGUAAAAUUCCAAUCGAGUGGCGUUGAGUA